rnacentral:rRNA from 1 species
ACGUACUGGUAUUGUUGGUUUCUCCCUUCUGACGAACCAUGAUGUCAUUUAUUUGGUGUUGUGGGGAAUCAGGACUGUUACUUUGAAAAAAUUAGAGUGUUUAAAGCAGGCUCACGCUUGAAUACAUUAGCAUGGAAUAAUGAAAUAGGACGUUUGAUUCUAUUUUGUUGGUUUCUAGGAUCGACGUAAUGAUUAAUAGGGAUAGUUGGGGGCAUUAGUAUUCAAUUGUCAGAGGUGAAAUUCUUGGAUUUAUUGAAGACUAACUACUGCAAAAGCAUUUGCCAAGGAUGUUUUCAUUAAUCAAGAACGAAAGUUAGGGGAUCGAAGACGAUCAGAUACCAUCGUAGUCUUAACCAUAAACUAUGCCGACUAGGGAUCGGAUGAUGUUAAUUUUUUAAUGACUCAUUCGGCGCCUUACG